UACAGAUUGAACAGUAAGGGAGAGAAGACUGCAUCCUUGUCUUACAUCUUUCUAAAUCCAAGCACUUAGUUCUUGGUCUUCCGUUCUUGUUCUAUCAUGGUUCUUAUACACAUUGUAUAUUUCUCUUCUUUCCCUGUAACCUACACCUAUUUUCCUGGAAGUUUUGAACAUCUUGCACCAUUAUACAUUGUCAAACCCUUCUUUUAGGUCAACAGAUCCUAUGAAAGUGUCCUGAUUUUUCUUAAGUCUUGCUUCCAUUAUCAGAGGCAAUGUCCAAAGUGCUUCUCUGGUACCUUUAUCUUUCCUAAAGCCAAACAGAUCAUAUGUUAUUCUUGUUAGCAACUUUGAUGCAUGAACUGUUGACCAGAUUGUAGGAUAGUUUUCAUAUCUAUACACCCUUGCUGUCUUUAAAAUUGUGGGUGACAUUUUUCCAAAAGUGGGAUGGCACGUCUCUAGCGUCACAUAUUCUACACACCAACCUUUAUUUAUUUGGUUGCCACUUCCCCCAAUGAUUUCAAAGUUCUGAAUGAAUUUAACAGCAGAAUUCUUCUUGUACAACUGAUGUUGAUUCCUUUACUUUUAAUUUCACUUGAGGUUGUUUUGGCUUUUCUGUAUGCUAUAUACAUUGCUAUAUUCCUGUCAUUUCUUGAAUGUUCUUGUUCUUCUUUGUUUCAUCAAUCUGCUGAUGUAUUUCUUUUGUUACCCUAGGUUUCCUUGCAGUUACCUUCUUUGCACAUAUAUUUGUCUGUCCAACUUCUGUGAUUGCCCCUUUUUUCAGAGCUGUUCAUUCCUCUUCAACUGAAAUGCCUUCCUUGGUAUUCAUUAUUGCAGUAUCAGCAGCCUCAAAAAACUACAAACAUACACCACCAUUCCUCUGUAUGUCAGUAUUUCACUUCUUUCCUCAUUGGUUCUUUCUCUGAUCAUCUUAAGCUUCAGCCUUCUCAUUGACUGUGAUCUGAGUCUAUAUCUACUCCUGUGCAUGCCUCACAAUCCAAUAUCUGAUUUCAGAAUCUCGGUCGGACUAUGAUGUAAUCCGGAUGGAAUCUUUCUGUGCCUCCAGGCAUUUUCCUCUUGUGAGUUUUGAACAGAGUAUUUGCUAUUACCAGUUGAAGAUAAUUGCAGAGCUCUAUUAGUCAUUCUCCUUUCUUGUUCCCUACCAAGCCAGUAUUCUGCCGUAAUCUUGCCUUCUACUCCUUCCCCUACUACUGCAUUCCACACACUCAUGAUUAUUAGAUUUCAUCUACUGGUUAUUAGAUUCCUUCUCCCUUUACGUACUGAACUACAUUUUCAGUAUCCUCAUAUACUUUCUCUUUGUCAUCAGCUUGAGAUUUCGAUGAGUAUACCUGAACUGUCAUUCUUGGCAUUGAUUUGCUGUCAGUUCUGAUCAGAAUAAUCCUAUCACUUAAUUGUUUGAAGUAACUCACUCUCUGUUCUACCUUCCUAUUCAUAAUGAAUUCUACUCCAACUGUACCGUUUUCUGCUGCUGUAGAAAUUACCCUAUAUUCGUCUGACCAGAAAUCCUUAUCUUCUUUUCAUUUCACUUCACAAAUACCCACUAUAUUUAGAUUGAGCCUUUGCAUUUUGCUUUUCUAGCUUCCCUGUCACAUUCAAACUUCUGCCAUUCAUAAAAUUUUGCCCUCUUGUUCAUUAUUCAGUCUUUUUCUCAUGACUGCCCUUAGCAGUCCCCUUGUGGAGAUCAGAAUGAUGGAUUUACAUGGAGUCUUUUGUCAAUGGAGAGAGCAUUAUGACACUUUUUCAAUUACAGGCAUGUGUGCUAUGGAUAUGCAUUGUGUGUUUUUAAUGCAGUGACUUCCUGUACCAUCUGCAUCCUCAUGAUGUUGAUCAUUACUGAUUCUUCCAUGUUUUAUGGGCAGUUUCUCAGGUGAAGGGCAGGAGGGUUCCCUGAGUGUUUUACCACUCCUCUGUCCUCCUUGAAAAGACCGUUGGCAGAACGAGGGUGACUACUUUUGCCAAAAGUCUUUGGCCGCCAUUGCUGAUAUUUUACGAGAGAAGUAAAGUUGAUACUCACCAUAUAGCUGAGAUGCUGAGUCACGAUAGGCACAAUAAAAAGAUUCACACAAUCAUAGCUUUCGGCCAUUAAGGCCUUCGUCUGCAGCAAGUGCAACUUACACACACGUCUGCAGUCUCAGAGAGCUGAAACUACACUGCAGCAUCUCUGCUAUAUGGCAAGUAGCAACUUUCCUUCUCUCGUAUUGUUACAUUCCAUCCUGGAUUUUCCAUUGUUUGAUUGCUGAUAUUUUUGUAUUCCAAGUUUAAGCAGUGGCUGGGAUCGAACCAAAGUCCCAUGAUGUUUCGAUUACGAGCCAGAGAUGCUACCCCUAACUGUUGUGCCUAACCAACCAACGAUUCACCCAUAACUCUGAGCCCACUCUCACAAUUUCAGUUAUUCUACUGUCUUUCUCUUACUUUCUGCAUUUCACAGAAAUUCUCCUACGUACUCUGCUGGAAUAGUUAAAGCUGUAAUAAAUUACUCCUAAUUCAAAAGUUUCUACAUUAGAAAAAAAUUAUGAUCCAAGAUCUGAUAUUUUGGUGUGUUUUCUGUUUAUAAUUUACAUUAUUACUACAUAUAAUCACUUACAUGAAGACCAUAAUUGAAAUGCAGUUAUGGCAGUAAAGGAGUCAUUUACCAAAGAUUGAUUCGAACACCAUAGAUACACUAGGCAUGUUCCUGGUACAGUUCCUGUGCACUGUCUUACACAGAAAUUAGUGUAUGAGAAAGAUGUAACUGAGUGUGAAAUAAAAAGUACAGUGAUCUGAUAAUACGUCUUAAUACUGUCAUCAUACUUCUGGCUAAAGUGUUAGGUGCUUUUAGCAAGGAUAUAUUUAAUGCUGCUUUUACACUCCAUAAGCUUCUAUUCAGCAGUGACAAAAGACACUCACUGUAUGUGUCAUUUAGUUCCAUUAACACAUAGAGGGAGGUGAAAUGUUCGGAUAUAUGUCUCUACACAGACUUUACUUCUGAUCUUCAUUGCAUCACCCAUUCUGUGGCAAAAUUCACAAAGAAAAAUGAAUGGAUGACCCAUGUGAGAUGUAGUCAGCUUCAUGUCUUAUUAUCCUUCCAUUGCUCUGUAGAGUAUUGUUCAAAUACUUGUUCUUGAAAUUUUGUUAAUCAUUUAAAAUAGAGAGUACCUCUUAAACAUAUUUAUUCUAAAGUCCUAAGCAUACUAAGGAACUGGCUUAAGUUUGAUUUGUAGCUUCAAAAAACGCCACAGUUUCUCUGUUGAAGCUUGAUUUAUCUGUUAUAUUCUUUCCAAUCAGCUGUUUAUGUUUGUUCACUUCCAUGUACUGUCAUAUACUUUCAGAAUUUUUGAUUAAGUUAAUCUUACUCCAGGGAUGAGUCACUGAUGCAGUAAUCAAGCUAAAUUACUGUGUUACUUCCUGGUGACAUACAUUAUCUGACUUCCCUUUCUCUGUUAUGCUUGAAUUGGUACACCCUUUGUUACACCCAGUACAAUCAUGAAACAGCUUUCAUACCUGAACAGUCAGGCACUGGUAUUUGUUGACAUCAGAAUUUCUUAUGUUUUGUGUUUGUUAAGUCCAUACCAGCAGUUUGUUGUUUGUGAGUAAUCUUUCUGUACGAACACCACACACAGCCUUAAAUUCUGAAGUAAAUGAAAGUCUUGUAAUGAAUGAUAAAUUCAGAUGUGUCAUACUAAGCUCUGCAGUACAUACUGCCCAGUGUUGUUAGCUAUUGUUACUGCCAUGUAGAGGGUGUCCAAAAAGUAACUAGCUUAAUGGGAAAAUAUCUGAAUUGCAACCAUUGUUGAAAGUAGCUUUUAUUAUAUAAUUCACAUAAGUGAAUAUGAUGUUGCAUGUUCUUAAGCACAUGCUGUAUUGUUUGUUGAGAAACUGCAGCAACACAUUCAAGUUGUUUCUAAAAUUUGAGAAUGGUGUUAAAAUGAGUCUUGUAAGAAGCAUUCCUUAAGGUAUUCCCACAGGAAAAAGUUAUUUGGAGAUAAACCAGGAGGCCGAGGCAAUCACAAUCCCUUUGAUAUCACUUGUCCAUGAAAAUAAUGAUCCUUUGUUGUCAGCUGUUUGAGCAGUAGCUUGUCCUGUUCAUAUCACUUAUGACAUACCUGGUCUUCAGCUGAAGUGUUUACAAAUUAUUGUGCUUUAUAUAUGUAGUGCAGAUUGUUCACUGUGCAGUGAAAGCACAUGAUGGUGGUGAUGAUGAUUCACCUAGUUUACACUACACAUCAAACUCCCAUGUGUAGAGAUGACCAACUCUAUGUAGCAGGAGGGGCACAGAGGCUUGAUAGCUGGCAUUACUUUUGUCGGCUUUUAAGUACAAAGUUCAAAAGGCUGCUGUCAUGACUAGCUUGAAGCAACAGUCACCUACAACUGUAGAUAUGUAAACAAAAGUUUGUUAUGUAAUUGGUUGUGGCAGACAUGCAAAGUCUACUUUAAGUGUCAAGGCUUUUCUCUUCACUGUAUGGUCUGUAGUGUUAAUGUAGAUAUUCAGUAGCCCAAAUAAUGAUUUUUUUUUUUCAUUCAAACAAUGGGAACUCCAGGUAGGAAUAUCAACAAUGUAGGAAAGACAGAUUGUUACUUACCAUAAAGAAGACAUGUCAAAUUGCAGACAGGCAUGAUUAAUAGACACACUCAUUUAGCUGGCCGAGAUGCUGGAAUUGGCUGUCGUGUGUGCGUGAGGUGUGCUUGCUUGUGUGUGUGCGUGUGAAAGUUGUGUGUGUGUCUCUCUCUUUACCAAUGGAGGCUGUGGCCAACAGCUGUAUGUGAGUGUCUUUUUAAUCAUGCCUGUCUGCAACUUGAAAUUUUAUGCGUUCAUUUAUAUUUCAAAGGUGAAUUGUGCCUAGUCAGACCAAUACACACCGUUGAGUUCUUUUCCAUGUGGCAUUGCAGAUGACAUGAACCAAUGACUAGAAAACUACAUAUUUUCCAAUAUCUUCAUGUAACAACUCAUGAACAACAUGUGUCAAUAUGGCUUUAAAUUACUAUACAAAUGCAUCUUUAAACGCUUGCAAGUUCGAUGCGGAGAGAGCAAACUGCCUGGAUAGGCAUCACACAAACUUCUCAGUAUUCAUAUAAUUUGCAGAUGGUAUGUUGAUCAAAUUUUGUAGUGUUAGCAUUAACAGUUUACUUAUUUUGGCAGCAUCUGCUAUGUUUGCUAUCUACUAGAACUUGUCAUAUAGCUGUUUAACGGUAGCCUUGUUAGUGACUCCUCAUCAACCUUUUUUGUGAAGGCAUUCUGUAUUUUUGCACAUCUAAUGUACUGGGUACUGAUGAAUACUUCCUUCUGUAACAAAUGAACCAUUUCUUCCUCAGUUAAGUGAGAGCCAGACUUGCAACAAAAAGAAAAAAAAUUAUUUUGGAAAACCCUGUACAACAAUUUUUCAGGCAAGUAAUACACAGAUGAAACCCAUUCAUUUCAUAUCAAAAUAUAACCAUUUGUGUAAAUGACUCACAGUUAAUGGCUUAUGAAAAUUUCUAGUUGUCUGUACAAUACUAUACCGGCAUGUAAUUAUAUAACUCCGGAACUGUUGCAUGUGAUGUGCAGAUAUUAUUAUUAAUAAGCUGGAAUGUUCUUAUAUUUCCAAUUAUUUGAAAUGUAUUACAGGAAUAUAAACCUUAUCUGUAAUAUUAUUCUUUUGUUGUAGAUGCACAGCAUUUUAGCUGUUCUGACUUGAAUACUUUAGGAAUGUCUUCAUGAUUACUUUUAUAUGAAAUUUUUGAGUAAAUGUAUGCUGCAGUUACCCCAAAUGAGUUGGUUAUGUUUUGCAAAGAUGAGGUCAGUAAAUUAUUGUUAAGCAUUUUCUUUUGGGUUCAUGUAGCUAUUACAUGUAAAUGCACUGACUUUACAGUGUGAUUAAAAAAGAAAAAUUGAAAAAGUUGCAUUUUCCAGGCUGUCAAGGAAGUGACAUAAAAUAAUCUAUAAGAUAUCUCAAGCAUUCAAGCCUCACUUUCAGCUUGAAUCUUAAAGCCAAAGGUGAAGUUUGAACGCUUCCCUCAGAUGUCUUAACUCUUGAUGUAGAAAUUGCCUUAAGGCUUUAACUUUCUAAUUAUUUUUCGUUAUCAGUGACAGCUACUGUUCCCUGUUUUUAUGAGUACACCUUUUUCAUUUUUCUGGUUGGAACUUACAUUUUAUUUGACUUUUGGUACUCAAUGUUAAAUGUUGUGCUUAUUCUAUUCAUCACUUUAAGAUUGUGUCCAUUAAAGAUGCCAGAGAACCAGUAGAUUAGAAAAUGCAGAUAUUGUCUUUUUUAAUUUUUUUUAUGAAUGUGGAUGUUUUCCAUAUUAGAAGCAAAUGGGAAGGUUAGAAACUUAACUUUGUUGUAUGUAUGUAUGUGAAGUUAUGAAUUAUGUUAGUGAAUUGUGUUAAUGCAUUGGUACGACUGAGUGGUAUGUGUUACUAAAAUUACAAAAUAAUGUGACGGGAUCGCAUUAUCUCAUUGUUCAUGUAGUACUCUUGGUUGACCUUUACUGUUUACUAUGGACCCAUAUAGCCACAAAAUGAGCUGUAUUUUUGCACAUAAUAUGUUGUCAUUUAUUAGAUAACUGUGUUGAGCUACAGCGGGAAACCUGCCUAAUGUGGAACUUCUAGGACUGAAGUAUGGGUUUUGGAAUGAACAGAGAGAUAUUGAAGGGAGGAUCCAAGUGCUAGUCAGUUUAGAAUUUCAUGCUGACAGUAAUAGUCAUGGCUUUCUUCAGCAUUCACCUGUUUAUCACAUAGCUCUUAAAAUUAGAAGCAUUAUCUCAUGAAUGGCCACUAAUAAUGUUAGAAGAGAGAGUGUUCCAUCAGUGGACUCUCCUAAAUCAAAGUAACAUGAAUGAGAUGGCAGAAAGUUUAUUGAUGCAAUAAUCAUAGCCUAUUGGCAUAACUUAAUAAUCAAAAUUGAAUGUAUUUUUCAUGUUUUCUCUCUUGUUUAAUUGAAUCUCUCUCCAUAUAUUAAAUGCAACUUCAUCAGUAUUGUAGUCAAAUUAUGUUUUUUAGUUUUGUGGAAAAUCACAAAAUUCAGGUGUAUAAUAUUUCGUGUGUUGUGUUAUGAUUGGAAAAGCUUAUUCAUGUGCUUCAAAUUCAGUUAAGUGACAAGUUUUUAGACAUCCAUUAAUAAUAUUCAUGAUAAUUCUUGUUUUGUUAUACAAACACCAGGAAGAGAGCAAAAUUGUUCAAUUAUUAUGUAAAUAGUAUAAAUACAUAGUAUUAAAUCAAGACAUAAAUCAUGAGAAAUGUUCACACAUAUUACAGCAUCUAUUUUCUCAAGAAUCUGUUUUCGUAAUAUAAAUGAUUUAGGAGUAAAGACACCACUCACCAAAUAGCAGGAAUGUUGAGUCAUCAACAGGCACACACGAAAGAGAAAGAAAACUUGCUAGCAUUUGGAAUCAAUACUACACACACACACACACACACACACACACACACACACACACACACAGAUGCUGUGAUUGCCGGUUGGCAGUGUUUGUGUGUGUUUUAUGUAUGUACUUGUACUCCAGCUUGUCACAAAGGAUUGAUUUUGAUGCUAGCAAGUUUUCUUUCUCUUUUGUGUGUGCCUGUUGAUGACUUAAAAGCUUCUGCUGUUCUGUGAGCUGUUGUCUUCUUUACUCCUGAAUUAUUUACAUUCUACCAGGACAUUCAUACAUAUUUUCAUAAUUUCUUUUAUUUUUCUAAGGUACUUUUGUUUCCCUUUCAUGUUUGUGUGUAAUUUAGUUUAGGGGGUUGAUGGGGGGGAGAGUGAGUUCAUAUCUACUUUGAAAAGGAAGUUAAGCUUACUAUAUGCAAUAUUUUGACCACAUUAUUCAUUAACUGAAUUUCUGAUAUUGUGAGUUGAGUGCACUACUAUUUUCCUCUUCAUAUUUUACAUACUAAUUCUUCACCAUACAUCAAGUCUAAAAGGACUUCAGAAUGUAUAUGAGAGUUAAACAAAAAAAUAAUUUGAUGCCUUUUCAUGAAGACACCCCUGAACAUAAGAAAUGGUUUUGAAUCUGCUGUUCUUUGAAUUGAGAAACUUGGUGAAGGAAUGCUUGAAAUGCUUGAACUAUCUGAAACCAUGCAGCUGUCAUUUCAUGUUUUAAUUUCUGUGUGAUAUUGUUCAUCAGUUUCCUUUGAAAACUGAAACAGCAUUGUAACCUUGUCACUUUCCAUAUGUCCCAGUAAUCGUCUUUACUGUGUUGAUAAUUUGUUAGCAGAGGAACAAAUAGUCAGAUUGACAAAUGCAAUAGUGUUUCAUCUACAAUUUCUGUGUUCUUUACUCUCUUUCAGCCAUAUUUUCAGUUUUUUUAUUUGUAGGCUUUGAAUGAUUCAUUUUCUGUAUCAUAUAUAUGAUUGCUUUGUGACAGAGGAAUUCUUUGUGACUGUUUCGAAAUAUGAGCUUUCCAUUGACAAGGCUGAAAUUUAAUAUUCAUUAAAUUUAUUCUGUUAUUUACUUGGAUCUAGUAAUAAUGAUAACAAGGCACCCUAUUGCUUCUUCAUCUUCAACCUGGCAGCAACUCUGUGAGCAGUCAUUUUAUGAGAUAUAUGGGCAUUAAGGAUAAUGCUGUAAAUAUUUCAGCAAUUGCAAUUGAAUUACUGAGUAAUAAUGCAUUAUAAUGGGACAUUUUUAUUACCGUUUCACGAUGAAUGUAUUAAUGACAAAUAUUUCUGAUUUAACUUGAUGGGGGUUGACAUAAACCAGAGUAACACAGAAGUGUUGGCACAGAUGAGGAUGACAGUGAUGGAAGUGCAAGUUUCACUGUACAUUUUGUUUGCUUAUCUGAAAUGUUAGUGAAUUUAAUGGGGUGUUUUAUUAAAUUGUUGUAGUGAAGGAAUCCAUUAGCAUUUAAUACAAGAAAAAUAUGUUGUAGGAAGAGGAAAGGAAAAGAGAGAAAGAAGAAGUGAAGUUCUUUUUGUGUGUGUGUAUUGGGGGGGGGGGGAGGGGGAGGGGGGGGGGUGCACAGAAAUACAGAAGUGAACAGUUUCCAUUCUAAAUCAUUACAUUUUGUAUAAUAAUUGUAUGUGUUAACAUGUCUCUUAAACUUUGGAAACUGGUGCAUAGAUAAGAGUAAAACCAUUUGUUUCAGAAAAUGGUUAAGUCUGGCUACUCUGCUGACUAUUUGAAUAUAUCUCAUUGUAUCUUAUUCCAGAAAGAGAAAGGGAACUGUUUUUCAGUCAUUAGUUCCUUUAAAAAUGAUCUUAAUAAAUAAUAGUACAAAGUAUUCUGUGGGUGUCUGAGUUGAAAAUGUAACAAAUUUGUGUGCCCUCUGAAAGUUUACGGCAAAGUUGUAUACCAGUUAUGUUUAAUUAACUAAAUAGAAAAUCUGAAAAGAAUGAUAAAUCUCAAUAAUGUAUGAAGUAAUAGUACUAAAUUUUCUUGUAGUUUUCAUUUCCAUGAGAACUAGUGCAUAAGUAGGGAAAUGACUGUGAAUUGCCCACCCAGUAUAUUGUGAUGAAAUUGUAGUAUUACAGUUAUCUAUUGUCUGAAUACUGGUACAGUAUACACUUUAAUGUAUAGACUACUUAGUAUUUAGUGUUAUAUUUGACUUUGGAGUGCAACAUGUACAAUAAGUUUUAUUACUGUAGCUGCUUUUAGUGAUAAUGUAAAUAUAAGAGAUGCGGUAUGUUAGAAGAAAUGGUGCACACACAAAUGCAGCUUAUGACAAUAGUGGUAUUACAGCAUGACAGUUCUGUUUUUAUGUAGGUUUUGUACACAUACAUAUCAGAUUGGCGUCGUGAGACGAUAAGUUCCUUCUAUUCGUGUUAUCUUGCAGAUUUUUCUUUUUCCUUUGUGCAUUUUGUUUCUCUGUGUAUUUCACACAGUUCUUGAUUUGUAUUAAUACAACAAGUAUUGUGUAUGUUUUUAGAGAUUUUGUAGUGAUGCAGUAUUUUUUAGUACCUAUUUCAUUCCUGAAAGCAACUUUUAAGCAAUACACGAACAUUCAGUCUUAGAGCGAAGAUAAUGUUUAACUUUUUAAUAUAACUGUAGAUACAAAAAUUCAACAAAUGUUUUAUUUAAAAAAUAGUUUUUACAAUAUAUAAAGCACACUUACAUUAUGCUUUCUGCUAACAUAUGUGUCAGAUCAUUCUGAAAGUAUUUGCAUAAAAGUAAGGAAUGUCUGUAUUAACAUCACUGUGAGAAUACACAAAAAAUAUUAAAUUUGUGUAGUUUCCACAAAGUUUAAUCUCUCCAACUGACUGUCUUUUCCUUAUUGUAUAUUUAAAUUGAGAUUAAUAUUUUCUUACAGAAGCACUGUGAACAUCUUAUUACACAUCUUAUAACACAUCUUAUAAAAAAAGAUAUGUUAUACCAUGUCUUUAAUACCAAAUAGCAGUUAUACUUGACCUAGAGAGAAUAGCUUUAAUUGGUGAAAUAAAUUCUCAACACUA